UUGAUGACUAUACUAUUUCCCAGUCACCCUCACCCAAUGAAGGCUUGAGCGUGAGUACUCAAUAUUCUCAACUGAGCUCAGAAGAGAGUGUCAGAAUCACAGAGUCCUCAACUAGUCUGAUUCAGAGCAUUAAGAAGCUCUCUAGCAAUGACUUUCAGACUCAGGCAGAAGAGGCAGUGAGUAAAGUGCUGAUGAGAUCCAGUCAUUCCUUUAUCACACAGAUCAGCCAUACUGGUCUUCAGAAAAGUCUGCAGGCUGGCUUAUCAUCUAGCUCACCAUCAGAGAUCCAUGUCCUUUCAGAAUCCAUGUCCUCCAUGUCCUCUGAGAAUACAGCCUCUGGAUUAGUGGAAACCUUUGUCAAAGGAAUGGCGACUAUUUUCCAGAAAAAUGAGUCCACUGACACUGUGCUACUGGAAAGAAGUGGGAGAGUUUCACAGUGCUCCCACGGGGGCUCCCAACUGGAUGAUACUGAAUUGAGUGUUAAAAUAUCAGAGGAGAAGCUUUGGUCAACAGCUAAGAACAUCUGCGUCAGUAUGAAGAACACACUUAAGGAUUUCUUCACAGGGCUGAAGCCAUCCGGAUCCGAAAGGACAGAAAUGGCUUCUUCCAAAGAGACCCUUGGGGAAAUCCUGGUUGCUAUCCAGAGUGAAAUCUCAAACUUCGGGCGAAUGAAGGAUUCCAGGGAGCUCCUUCAGAUCAAUGAUAUGGUAGGAACUAUGCUGAAGGAGAUUGAGAAAAGUGAGGAUGACAGUGAACAAGUCUGCCAAGACAUCCCUCGAACCUGUUCAUCUUUAUCCACUUCUUUAAAUGGUCGUAGUUCCUUGUCCAGCUCUUCAAAGGGUCCUAGGUCAGAGUGUGAGUUAGAGAUCAACCUCCCUGGCACUCCCAUCCUGAAGUGCCUUUUGAUCUGACCUGCCCCAUCGUCAGGAGCUCCUGCAUCGACACCAGGGAAUCUAAAAUGCCAGAGAUUUCUACAAGUGACCUAAAGACAAAGAUGAUGGCACACACAGAUGAACCCCUGCAUCGUAACAGUCCAAUGACUGACAGCAGCCGACCACCGAGUGCUAAAGUCUCUUUUCGAUCCUCCACUCCGUCUUUCACCAGCAAGGGAACCUUUUUGGUACCAAAGGGAGAGGGGAUUGACAUUGAAGAGAAGGAGGUGUGUAUCCCUAGCAGCUCUGGCCAUCUGAGGGAGCUCUUAAUCAUCCCGGACAUCAGCAGUGCCACUGCAUUCCCACUGCAGUACUUGAUGGAUUCCAGCAAAGAUGAUGGCAUCUGUUUUGUCACCAUACUGGUGAUAAGGUUGCUAUCGGAGAUCAGACCCUCAGCCCUAGAUGGACCCUCCCAACAGGCAGCAGAUCUGACAGAAACAUCUCAGCAACUCAUCAGACAAGUCCUGUCUGAGUUCUGUGCUGCAUCCAGAUUAUCCAGGACACAGGCAUAUUCCCAGAACCUGAACAUCCAAAGGGUGUUCAGAGGUGUACAUAAAAACCUCAUGGAGGAGUUUGGCUCUUAUAACACCCUGCAAGCAGCUAUUUCCUCCCAGGACCCUGCAUUUGACAGAGUCCUGGUAAAGUCCUUGACCCAGCAGCUGGUACAGGGAUGCAAGGAGGCGUCAAGACCAAACCCAUCAGACCAGGCUGAGACAGAGAGGGGGGCUGAGCAGAAAGCAAGAAGGAGCUUCCUUUGCUUUUCAAUGACCAAACUCAGGAUCAACUUCAAGCGUUCCAAGAGAGGAAACAAAAAUGACUGCCAUUCAGUCCAGGACCAGACUGAGAUUCCCUCUACUGAUGGACAUUGCAUAGGUAAGGAUGUUUUAGAGCUCUGCUAUAGCUUGUAGUUUUGUUUAGGUGUGUGUUAGAAACAUAGGAAUGCCUACCAAACUCAUAGCACUGUUAUUUUUCAACGUUACUAUACUGCAUCUCUCUCUUUCUCUCUCUCUCUCUCUUACCCCAUCCAUUUCUCUUGUGUUUCUAGCUCCAGUUGGAGCGGUUUCUCCCUCCAUAUCUCAGCGUGUCAAAAAACGAUCCUUGAUUGUCAGGGUCUUUUCAGCAAUGAUGAAGCCAUUCAGGCGCUUCACCAAGAAGAACCUGUAACCUGUUACGCUGCAUGAAGAACUACUUAUUCACCAGUAUCUUUACCUGCACAUGACCAGCUGAUCAUUUAUCACUCCAGUGUUAAUCUGCUAAGUUGUAAUUAUUCGCCUACCUCCUCAUGCCUUUUGCACACAAUGUAGAUAGACUCUUUUUUUCUUUUUUUUCUACUGUGUUAUUGACUUGUUUAUUGUUUACUCCAUGUGUAACUCUGUGUUGUUGUCUGUUCACACUGCUAUGCUUUAUCUUGGCCAGGUCGCAGUUGUAAAUGAGAACUUGUUCUCAACUAGCCUACCUGGUUAAAUAAAGGUGAAAUAAAAAUAAAAAUCAGGCACUUUUUUUCAGAAAACCGAUGGCAGCGUCUAUCAUUGCUCUUCUACCAUCUAUCCCAUGUCUGCACCUCCCUCUUCCAUCAAAAACAAAUUACCUGGUUAAAGUUAGUUAGGCUAGGGGUUAGGGUUAAGGUUAGAGUUAAGUUUAGGAGUUAGGUUAAAGGGUUAAGGUUAGAGUUAGGGGAAGGGUUAGCUAUAAGGGUUAGGGGAAGGGUUAGCUAACAUGCUAAGUAGUUACAAAGUAGCUAAAAAGUGGUAAGGAGUUGAAAGUUUGCUAAUUAGCUAAAGUUGUCUGUGAUGAGAUUCAAAAUCAUAACCUUUGGAUCGUUAGACAUCCGUGUUAUACUGUAUGCCCACCCCUCCACCCUGACCAACCACCCUACUUUCGUUUUUGCCUUAAAUAACCAUUUGUCUUAUAUAACCAUACCAAACAUAACAUAUUAUACUAAUUUGAGUGUCCCGGAUUUACAUUUACUAUGUUAUGUCUAGUCUAUGAGAUCAGGCUGAUCACAGGCAUGAACAGAGUAACAGGUCAUUGUAGUUAUGAGUGUGAGUGUUAGAGAGGGAUUUGAGGAUUUCACUGUGGGUCAAUGCAGAGCUAAGCAUGAAGGAUUUUUGUGGCAUGACAUAAAACCAGAAACCACAGCACAGAGGAAACCUCUGAGGGUCAUAAUGGCUGGUCCCAUUAAACCUGGGGGAGGAGUUUGAGCAGACCUCAGAGGACAGGAGCUGACAUGGUGUUAAGGACAGUAGAUGAAUCACCGCACUUUUUUGCUCUUGUUCCCUGUGUGUGUGUGUGUGUGUGUGUGUGUGUGUGUGUGUGUGUGUGUGUGUGUGUGUGUGUGUGUGUGUGUGUGUGUGUGUGUGUGUGUGUGUGUGUGUGUGUGUGUGUGUGUGUGUGUGUGUGUGUCUUGACAGAGGUAGAAAGUGAUGAAAUACAGAAUUGUGCGUUCGUUUGUUGUAGCUUUUUAUUGUUGUAUUAGAUCAUUUUCAUCCCUAACUUUUUAAGAAUGAGGCAAGAUGAAGUCAAAUUUCUCAAACAAGAAACAUGGUUGACUGUUUCCCUUCAGUCGAUUUCUCAUUCUCUUGUAAAAUAGCAAUGAUGCAAGCGCUCUGAUCUAGAAGCCAGUGAAAGCGAGAGGUUUUACAGCUAGUUUGUUCAGCUCAGGAAGGCCCCACGGCAGCACUUUGGAGUGUAGCAUUGUGUUUUGGUAUCCUCAUCUCCUUUGACAGAGUCUCCCGCAUAACGACGUAGCAGAUAAAGCAGUACUGGGUAGAGCUGGUGGGGCUUUCAGAGUCAGUUUGCUCUUUUACCGUUGUAUGGAUGUCUCUCUUUGCCGAAGAAAAGCCUUGCCAUUGAGAACCUUAUUCCAGUCAGAGAGAUAUUAUCAAUAUUUGUGUUGACACAUACCCUACUGCUUCAGUCAGGAUAGCAUCGCGGCUGGGGAUUUGUUGUCAUCUGUCUGAGAUGGAGAUACUGGUUGAGCAGAAUACAUUUAGAGGUACAUUGGGAAAGAAAAUCCUGCAUGUAUGAAAAAGCCCACCCUGUGGGUGUCACAACUUCUGCGGAAGUCGAAGCCUCUCCUUGUUCGGGCGGUGCUCGGCGGUUGACGUCACCGGUCUUCUAGCCAUCAUUGAUCCAUUUUUCAUUUUCCAUUGGAUUUAUCUUGUCUUACUACACACCUGGUUUCAAUCCCAUUCAUUACCUGUUGUGUAUUUAACCGUCUGUUUUCCCUCAUGUCUUUGUCAGAGAUUGUUUUAUGUUCAGUAUUCGUGUUUUGUAUUUGGUGCGCGACGGGUCCUCGUACCCACUUUGUUUCAUUGUAUUUCAUGGUUUUGGAGUUAUGUGUUUUAAGUUAUUAAACUACUCCAUUCCACCAAGUUUUAAUUAUCCUGUGCCUGACUUCCCUGCCACCUAUACACACGACUGUGAUAGAAUCUCUGACCAAAAUGAAGUCAGCAGGAGAAGGU
ensembl:lncRNA